UACGGAGGAUGCGAGCGUUAUCCGGAUUUAUUGGGUUUAAAGGGUGCGUAGGCGGACUGUCAGGUCAGCGGUAAAAUUGAGAGGCUCAACCUCUUCCCGCCGUUGAAACUGGUGGUCUUGAGUGGAUGAGAAGUACGCGGAAUGCGUGGUGUAGCGGUGAAAUGCAUAGGUAUCACGCAGAACUCCGAUUGCGAAGGCAGCGUACCGGCAUCCAACUGACGCUGAGGCACGAAAGCGUGGGGAUCAAACAGG
rnacentral:rRNA from 1 species